rnacentral:rRNA from 1 species
UACGGGGGGGGUAAGCGUUGUUCGGAAUUACUGGGCGUAAAGCGCGCGUAGGCGGACCUGCAAGUCGGGGGUGAAAGCCCGAGGCUCAACCUCGGAACUGCCUUCGAUACUGCGGGUCUCGAGUCCGGGAGAGGUGAGUGGAAUUCCUAGUGUAGAGGUGAAAUUCGUAGAUAUUAGGAAGAACACCAGUGGCGAAGGCGGCUCACUGGCCCGGUACUGACGCUGAGGCGCGAAAGCGUGGGGAGCAAACAGG